rnacentral:rRNA from 1 species
UACAGAGGUCUCAAGCGUUGUUCGGAUUCAUUGGGCGUAAAGGGUGUGUAGGUGGCGCGCUAAGUCGGGUGUGAAAUUUCGGAGCUUAACUCCGAAACUGCAUUCGAUACUGGCGUGCUUGAGGACUGGAGAGGAGACUGGAAUUCAUGGUGUAGCAGUGAAAUGCGUAGAGAUCGUAAGGAAGACCAGUGGCGAAGGCGGGUCUCUGGACAGUUCCUGACGCUGAGGCACGAAGGUCAGGGGAGCAAACGGG